rnacentral:rRNA from 1 species
GCAGCAGGCGCGCAAAUUACCCACUCCCGGCACGGGGAGGUAGUGACGAAAAAUAACGAUACGGGACUCAUCCGAGGCCCCGUAAUCGGAAUGAGAUCACUCUAAACCUUUUAACGAGUAUCCAUUGGAGGGCAAGUCUGGUGCCAGCAGCCGCGGUAAUUCCAGCUCCAAUAGCGUAUAUUAAAGUUGCUGCGGUUAAAAAGCUCGUAGUUGGACUUGUGUCCCACGCUGUCGGUUCACCGUUCGUCGGUGUCAACUGGCAUGCUGUGCGGACGUCCUGCCGGUGGAUGCGGUCGGCCGUGGGCCUCUGGUCUGCGUGUCGGCGGUCCGAUGGAAUCCUACCGCGGUGCUCUUAACCGAGUGUCGAGGUGGGCCGGCACAUUUACUUUGAACAAAUUAGAGUGCUCAAAGCAGGCUAAGUGUCCGCCUGAAUAUUGUGUGCAUGGAAUAAUGGAAUAGGACCUCGGUUCUAUUUUGUUGGUUUUCGGAACAUGAGGAAAUGAUUAAAAGGGACAGAUGGAGGCAUUCGUAUUGCGACGUUAGAGGUGAAAUUCUUGGAUCGUCGCAAGACGGACUAAAGCGAAAGCAUUUGCCAUAGAUGUUUUCAUUAAUCAAGAACGAAAGUUAGAGGUUCGAAGGCGAUCAGAUACCGCCCUAGUUCUAACCAUAAACGAUGCCAGCCAGCGAUCCGCCGAAGUUCCUCCAUAGACUCGGCGGGCAGCUUCCGGGAAACCAAAGCUUUUGGGUUCCGGGGGAAGUAUGGUUGCAAAGCUGAAACUUAAAGGAAUUGACGGAAGGGCACCACCAGGAGUGGAGCCUGCGGCUUAAUUUGACUCAACACGGGAAACCUCACCAGGCCCGGACAUCGGAAGGAUUGACAGAUUGAGAGCUCUUUCUUGAUUCGGUGGAUGGUGGUGCAUGGCCGUUCUUAGUUGGUGGAGUGAU